rnacentral:rRNA from 1 species
UUAAGCGACUAAGCGUACACGGUGGAUGCCCUGGCAGUCAGAGGCGAUGAAGGACGUGCUAAUCUGCGAUAAGCGUCGGUAAGGUGAUAUGAACCGUUAUAACCGGCGAUUUCCGAAUGGGGAAACCCAGUGUGUUUCGACACACUAUCAUUAACUGAAUCCAUAGGUUAAUGAGGCGAACCGGGGGAACUGAAACAUCUAAGUACCCCGAGGAAAAGAAAUCAACCGAGAUUCCCCCAGUAGCGGCGAGCGAACGGGGAGCAGCCCAGAGCCUGAAUCAGUAUGUGUGUUAGUGGAAGCGUCUGGAAAGGCGCGCGAUACAGGGUGACAGCCCCGUACACAAAAAUGCACAUAUUGUGAGCUCGAUGAGUAGGGCGGGACACGUGGUAUCCUGUCUGAAUAUGGGGGGACCAUCCUCCAAGGCUAAAUACUCCUGACUGACCGAUAGUGAACCAGUACCGUGAGGGAAAGGCGAAAAGAACCCCGGCGAGGGGAGUGAAAAAGAACCUGAAACCGUGUACGUACAAGCAGUGGGAGCACGCUUAGGCGUGUGACUGCGUACCUUUUGUAUAAUGGGUCAGCGACUUAUAUUCUGUAGCAAGGUUAACCGAAUAGGGGAGCCGAAGGGAAACCGAGUCUUAACUGGGCGUUAAGUUGCAGGGUAUAGACCCGAAACCCGGUGAUCUAGCCAUGGGCAGGUUGAAGGUUGGGUAACACUAACUGGAGGACCGAACCGACUAAUGUUGAAAAAUUAGCGGAUGACUUGUGGCUGGGGGUGAAAGGCCAAUCAAACCGGGAGAUAGCUGGUUCUCCCCGAAAGCUAUUUAGGUAGCGCCUCGUGAAUUCAUCUCCGGGGGUAGAGCACUGUUUCGGCAAGGGGGUCAUCCCGACUUACCAACCCGAUGCAAACUGCGAAUACCGGAGAAUGUUAUCACGGGAGACACACGGCGGGUGCUAACGUCCGUCGUGAAGAGGGAAACAACCCAGACCGCCAGCUAAGGUCCCAAAGUCAUGGUUAAGUGGGAAACGAUGUGGGAAGGCCCAGACAGCCAGGAUGUUGGCUUAGAAGCAGCCAUCAUUUAAAGAAAGCGUAAUAGCUCACUGGUCGAGUCGGCCUGCGCGGAAGAUGUAACGGGGCUAAACCAUGCACCGAAGCUGCGGCAGCGACGCUUAUGCGUUGUUGGGUAGGGGAGCGUUCUGUAAGCCUGUGAAGGUGUGCUGUGAGGCAUGCUGGAGGUAUCAGAAGUGCGAAUGCUGACAUAAGUAACGAUAAAGCGGGUGAAAAGCCCGCUCGCCGGAAGACCAAGGGUUCCUGUCCAACGUUAAUCGGGGCAGGGUGAGUCGACCCCUAAGGCGAGGCCGAAAGGCGUAGUCGAUGGGAAACAGGUUAAUAUUCCUGUACUUGGUGUUACUGCGAAGGGGGGACGGAGAAGGCUAUGUUGGCCGGGCGACGGUUGUCCCGGUUUAAGCGUGUAGGCUGGUUUUCCAGGCAAAUCCGGAAAAUCAAGGCUGAGGCGUGAUGACGAGGCACUACGGUGCUGAAGCAACAAAUGCCCUGCUUCCAGGAAAAGCCUCUAAGCAUCAGGUAACAUCAAAUCGUACCCCAAACCGACACAGGUGGUCAGGUAGAGAAUACCAAGGCGCUUGAGAGAACUCGGGUGAAGGAACUAGGCAAAAUGGUGCCGUAACUUCGGGAGAAGGCACGCUGAUAUGUAGGUGAAGUCCCUCGCGGAUGGAGCUGAAAUCAGUCGAAGAUACCAGCUGGCUGCAACUGUUUAUUAAAAACACAGCACUGUGCAAACACGAAAGUGGACGUAUACGGUGUGACGCCUGCCCGGUGCCGGAAGGUUAAUUGAUGGGGUUAGCCGCAAGGCGAAGCUCUUGAUCGAAGCCCCGGUAAACGGCGGCCGUAACUAUAACGGUCCUAAGGUAGCGAAAUUCCUUGUCGGGUAAGUUCCGACCUGCACGAAUGGCGUAAUGAUGGCCAGGCUGUCUCCACCCGAGACUCAGUGAAAUUGAACUCGCUGUGAAGAUGCAGUGUACCCGCGGCAAGACGGAAAGACCCCGUGAACCUUUACUAUAGCUUGACACUGAACAUUGAGCCUUGAUGUGUAGGAUAGGUGGGAGGCUUAGAAGUGUGGACGCCAGUCUGCAUGGAGCCGACCUUGAAAUACCACCCUUUAAUGUUUGAUGUUCUAACGUUGACCCGUAAUCCGGGUUGCGGACAGUGUCUGGUGGGUAGUUUGACUGGGGCGGUCUCCUCCUAAAGAGUAACGGAGGAGCACGAAGGUUGGCUAAUCCUGGUCGGACAUCAGGAGGUUAGUGCAAUGGCAUAAGCCAGCUUGACUGCGAGCGUGACGGCGCGAGCAGGUGCGAAAGCAGGUCAUAGUGAUCCGGUGGUUCUGAAUGGAAGGGCCAUCGCUCAACGGAUAAAAGGUACUCCGGGGAUAACAGGCUGAUACCGCCCAAGAGUUCAUAUCGACGGCGGUGUUUGGCACCUCGAUGUCGGCUCAUCACAUCCUGGGGCUGAAGUAGGUCCCAAGGGUAUGGCUGUUCGCCAUUUAAAGUGGUACGCGAGCUGGGUUUAGAACGUCGUGAGACAGUUCGGUCCCUAUCUGCCGUGGGCGCUGGAGAACUGAGGGGGGCUGCUCCUAGUACGAGAGGACCGGAGUGGACGCAUCACUGGUGUUCGGGUUGUCAUGCCAAUGGCACUGCCCGGUAGCUAAAUGCGGAAGAGAUAAGUGCUGAAAGCAUCUAAGCACGAAACUUGCCCCGAGAUGAGUUCUCCCUGACUCCUUGAGAGUCCUGAAGGAACGUUGAAGACGACGACGUUGAUAGGCCGGGUGUGUAAGCGCAGCGAUGCGUUGAGCUAACCGGUACUAAUGAACCGUGAGGCUUAACCU